GCUGGUCACAUUUUUUUCCCUUUAGUCCUGAGCUAAUCUAGGGACCUGGGAUAAUUCUAGAGCCUCUUCCCAGUAGAGCUCUCUGGCAGUGCUACACCUGAUUAUAAACUACUACCACUGUUCUUGUCAAAAUGCUUUUUACGUUUUCUUGUUUUACCUAAAAAGUUCACUCUUUCCUUCAAAAGGCUUCUCCCACCAGGACAGCAGCAUGAGGGCAGGCACAGCAGCUCAGCAGCAUGGCUUGGAUUAAACCCUUGCUGAAUGGUGGAGAGAGAAAGGGAGAAAGACAAGACUAUCUGUUUUGGGAUACUGCAGCCAAGAAGCCAACAGAAAGGUUUACUGAAAUGUUUACAUGCAGAAAAGAGAAAAAAACCCCACCAGAAUAAAGUUCAAGCUGAUGCCAACAAACUGUGUUUGGUACGGUACAGCCUGUUGCUCACAGCUGCAUUCAGAGGCUGCCACAAAGGGAUGAUAUUUUGUCACUGAAUAUGAGGUUGCAGAGUCUUCAUCCUUGGAGAUAGUCAAAAGCUGUAUGGACAUGGUCCUAGAUCACCUGCCCUCGCUGACCCUGCUUGGGCAGGGCACUCAGACCAGAUGAUCUGCAGAGAUCCCUUUCAACCUCAAUGAUUCCAUCAUUCUGUGGUCUUCACUAACAAGAAUGAUUUGUGAUGUUGGAAGAAUGUGCUACUAAUCACUUACAACUGAAUCUUGUGAAUGUGAUGUACAAUAAAAAGGAAGCUAAGUAUUUUUAACAAGGAGAAAAAAAUCCUCAAAGAGAUAAUUGGGAGUGUUUAAAUAAUAUUUGCUUAUUAAAUUUUUAUUUACUAGGAAAUGUCUUCCAGCUGAAUGCCUGAACGUAUUUUAAAUGUUGUAAGACUGAAGAAAAUAUUCUCUUGCCUGAGUUCUCUAAGUCUUUAUUUGAUGAUGAGGAGCAGACAAAACAAAAGGUGAUAGCUUACAUCUUUAAACAUUGUAUUUAAUUGAUGGUUCAUCAUGGCUUACAUGAUCUCACAUGUAGCUGGUAACAAAACUGCCAUUGCCCACCCCUACUCUGUGUUUUACAAGGAAGAACUCAACAACACAAGAAUGUAAACUCAUAUUUAUUAAGUUUCUAUCUCAAUUUCUAUCAUCAGUGGGGCCUUUCCUUUUCCCUGGCUUGUGAAUCUGCCUAAGAUCCCAAAUCACAGCAUUUGUUUUUCAGUCCAUAGCAUUUUUUGUGCUUUCUCAGGAAUGCUCACCCACUCUUGGCUCCUCUAGCUGUUUCAUUCUUUGUACUGGCAAAGAGUGUAACACAGGGACAAGCGGCUUGACUUGAAAUGCAUGGUCAUUCUUAGUAAUUUUACUGUGCACUGUGUAUAUAUUCCAUCCCUCUGCUUAUUCCUUGCUCAUCUCCUGGAAAGGAGGAACUCUCCAACAGCCCCAAAGUGACUCCCCACAGUGUGCAUGCAAUGGCAACCACUCACCCUCACAUCAGGGGUUGAGCAAAGGCACAACCAUUCCCAGCAAACUACCUAAAAAGAAAGGGUUGCUGAUACAAAUCUGAGGUGCAACAAGAGUUGCAUUUGGGUUAAGAAAAGUUGGAUGGUUGUAAACAAGAGUUUAACUUGUCCUACCUCUUGGAGCACCCCCUUCACAAUGCCCCAUAAUUUGCAAUUGUAUUUGGUAAAAGCUUAUCUUCCACAGUCUGAAUGUAGAAGAGAUUUGUUUUUCCAUCAUGUUCAUUAUUAUGGGAUCAGACAGUAGCCACCACCUGCUGUAAUUAUGAUGUGAAAUGAGGAAUGUGUUAAGAUAUACUGCUUACUGUCUAAAUUCAGCUUGGAAAUAUAUAUCUUACAGGAAUAAAUUUGCUUUUUUAAUUUAACAA